rnacentral:tRNA from 1 species
AGAAAUAUGUCUGAUAAAAGAAUUACUUUGAUAGAGUAAAUCAUAAAGGUUCAAACCCUUUUAUUUCUA